GGAUAAAUACUGUAUUACUGUGAAUUCAACAUGUGGUUAUAUCGACUUUAUACUAUGUAAUAAAAGUGGUUAAGUAGAUGGAAGUCGAGUAAAACAGAUAGAAAAUUAUUAAUUCUCGUUAAAAUCUAAUCCUUGAGAAAUUGAUAAUUAAUCAAUCGUGAGAUAAAAUGGAAAUUGAAUAUUGAAUUAAAUAUUCAUUUAAUAUUUUCAUCUUAGGAGAAUUUCUUAUACGGAUAGUCGUUUGAACUUGGGGUUAUUUUGAACUUUAAUUUUAUAUUCUACUUACAGAAAGAUAAAUAAAAUAAAUAACAUUCUCGCGUAAAAAUUUAUUUUAUGAUCGAAAUAAAAGAAAUUAUAUAUUCUGGGUCAAAAGUGACUCGACGUCUGCCGUGCACACGAUAACUUCGCCGUUCGCAAUCCGAGGGUUAAGGUGAAGAGAUUGCUGCAGAUUUAAUUUCAUAAAUUGAUGACAGCAUCUGUUCUUGUUCUAUUUAAAAUCGUUUCAACACAUAAAUGCGAGAAUUAUUCAUUAGAUAUUAGAAUAAUUAAGAUAAUGAACAGUUAAUAAAUUGUAUAAAAUG